AGAACAAGACUCAGUGGCUUGGGAAGUAGUUCCAGUUCUAAGUCCUGCCCACACAACCUGUGUCAGUUAACUCUUAGCUUAGACUGUCCUGUCUCUCCUGACAGAUACGUGGUCAGACACCAGAAUGUGGUUUGUUCACCUGCUUGAUUUUAAUGCUUUGAUAAAUAUGCUGUCUAGUAGCUCUGCAUCUCGUAGAAAUUUCUGAUUUCCCAAGGUUAACCAGAAAUGAUUUUGAGGUUUGAGGCUGAUGAUGCUGUGACUCAUAUUAAUGACAAAUGGCAGUAAUACAGUUCUUGCAAGCAAUUUUCAAGCCAGACACAAUGCACAAAAACCUAGCAGAAGAUUUGACAGCAGAAAACAUUGCACAAACAUGACUUUGGCAUUUGAUUGAAGUGCAGUAUUGUUCAGCUUCAACACAUUCUGACAUCUUUUGCAGAUCAAUUAAAGUGCAACAGUGUGGAAGCAAUAAAAAUGAAGAUGUUUUAUCCUUAGCUUAGAAU
rnacentral:lncRNA from 1 species